rnacentral:rRNA from 1 species
AUGGACCUACGGGACGCAGCAGUGGGGGAUAUUGGACAAUGGGGGGAACCCUGAUCCAGCGACGCCGCGUGAGUGAAGAAGUAUUUCGGUAUGUAAAGCUCUGUCAGCAGGGAAGAAAGCAAUGACGGUACCUGACCAAGAAGCCCCGGCUAACUACGUGCCAGCAGCCGCGGUAAUACGUAGGGGGCAAGCGUUAUCCGAAAUUACUGGGUGUAAAGGGAGCGUAGACG